AGUGAACGCUGGCGGUAGGCCUAACACAUGCAAGUCGAACGGCAGCACAGUAAGAGCUUGCUCUUACGGGUGGCGAGUGGCGGACGGGUGAGGAAUACAUCGGAAUCUACUUUUUCGUGGGGGAUAACGUAGGGAAACUUACGCUAAUACCGCAUACGACCUACGGGUGACAGCAGGGGAUCUUCGGACCUUGCGCGAUUGAAUGAGCCGAUGUCGGAUUAGCUAGUUGGCGGGGUAAAGGCCCACCAAGGCGACGAUCCGUAGCUGGUCUGAGAGGAUGAUCAGCCACACUGGAACUGAGACACGGUCCAGACUCCUACGGGAGGCAGCAGUGGGGAAUAUUAGACAAUGGGCGCAAGCCUGAUCCAGCCAUACCGCGUGGGUGAAGAAGGCCUUCGGGUUGUAAAGCCCUUUUGUUGGGAAAGAAAAGCAGCAGGUUAAUACCCCGCUGUUUUGACGGUACCCAAAGAAUAAGCACCGGCUAACUUCGUG
rnacentral:rRNA from 1 species